rnacentral:rRNA from 1 species
GGAGGCGAAGGCGAGCUCCUGGCCAUUAACGGACGCUGAGGCGCGAAAGCCUGGGGAGCGAACAGGAUUAGAUACCCUGGUAGUCCACGCUGUAAACGAUGUGCACUGGUUGUUGGACCUGAGAGGUUCAGUGCCGUAGCAAACGCGUUAAGUGCACCGCCUGGGGAGUACGCUCGCAAGGGUGAAACUCAAAGGAAUCGACGGGGGCCCGCACAACCGGUGGAGCAUGUGGCCUAAUGCGAUGAUACGCGAGAAACCUUACCAGGGCUUGACAUAAGCAUGACGGUUAUAGAGAUACAGCUUCUCUUCGGAGAGUGUUUACAGGUGCUGCAUGGCCGUCGUCAGAUCGUGCUGUGAACUGUUGGCAUAAGUCCCGCAACGAGCGCUACCAUUGCUGUCUGUUGCCAACAGGUAAUGCUGGGGACUCGGACGGUACUGCCGGUGACUAUCCGGAGGAAGGUGGGGACGACGUCAAGUCAUCAUGGCCCAUAUGUCCUGGGCUACACACGCGCUACAAUCGGUCGGUACAGAGCGAAGCGAAACCACGAGGUAGAGCAAAUCGCAGCAAGCCGGUCCCAGUUCGGAUUGAAGUCUGAAACCCGACUUCUAUGAAGGUGGAAUCGAUAGUAAUCGCGCAUAAGCAUGGCCCGGUGAUAGUUCCCGGGCCAUGUACACAACCGCCCGUCUACACCACCUGAGUUGGGGGUACCCGAA